rnacentral:rRNA from 1 species
AGUGAACGCUGGCGGUAGGCCUAACACAUGCAAGUCGAACGGCAGCACAGUAAGAGCUUGCUCUUACGGGUGGCGAGUGGCGGACGGGUGAGGAAUACAUCGGAAUCUACUUUUUCGUGGGGGAUAACGUAGGGAAACUUACGCUAAUACCGCAUACGACCUACGGGUGAAAGCAGGGGAUCUUCGGACCUUGCGCGAUUGAAUGAGCCGAUGUCGGAUUAGCUAGUUGGCGGGGUAAAGGCCCACCAAGGCGACGAUCCGAAGCUGGUCUGAGAGGAUGAUCAGCCACACUGGAACUGAGACACGGUCCAGACUCCUACGGGAGGCAGCAGUGGGGAAUAUUGGACAAAGGGCGCAAGCCUGAUCCAGCCAUACCGCGUGGGUGAAGAAGGCCUUCGGGUUGUAAAGCCCUUUUGUUGGGAAAGAAAAGCAGCAGGUUAAUACCCCGCUGUUCUGACGGUACCCAAAGAAUAAGCACCGGCUAACUUCGUG